rnacentral:sRNA from 1 species
CAGCGAUGGCAGCGGCAUCCUUUUUUCCGUUUCUUUAAGGGAAAAAGAUACAGCGGACAGCGCGGCCGUUC